rnacentral:rRNA from 1 species
UACGUAAGACGCAAGCGUUGUCCGGAAUCACUGGGCGUAAAGCGCGCGUAGGCGGUUUGAUAAGUUGGGUGUGAAAUCCCCGGGCUCAACCCGGGAACUGCGCCCAAAACUGUCUCACUGGAGGAACGGAGAGGUGCACGGAAUUCCCGGUGUAGGGGUGAAAUCCAUAGAUAUCGGGAGGAACACCAAUGGCGAAGGCAGUGCACUGGACGUUUCCUGACGCUGAGGUGCGAAAGCGUGGGGAGCGAACGGG